rnacentral:rRNA from 1 species
AUACGUAGGGGGCAAGCGUUAUCCGGAAUUACUGGGUGUAAAGGGUGCGUAGGCGGCACGACAAGUCAGAAGUGAAAGGCGGGGGCUUAACCCCCGAACUGCUUUUGAAACUGUCGAGCUGGAGUACAGGAGAGGAAAGCGGAAUUCCUAGUGUAGCGGUGAAAUGCGUAGAUAUUAGGAAGAACACCAGUGGCGAAGGCGGCUUUCUGGACUGAAACUGACGCUGAGGCACGAAAGCGUGGGGAGCAAACAGGAUUAGAUACCCUGGUAGUCCACGCUGUAAACGAUGAAUGCUAGGUGUUGGGUCUACGGACUCGGUGCCGCAGUUAACGCAAUAAGCAUUCCACCUGGGGAGUACGACCGCAAGGUUGAAACUCAAAUGAAUUGGCGGGG